GAUCUUGAGUUCCAGUCCCACAUGGGCUACAUAGUAAGACCUUGUCUCUAAAAGAGGAGAGGGAAGGAGGGGGGGAGGCUCUUCCUGAGUCCACAAGACAUCUCUACAACGCCUCUGAAUGGUAGAGAAACAGCUAUUAGAUCCUGGGCAAGCUGCCCGUGGUUGUGUAUGCCAGUAGUCCUGGCACUCGGAAGGUAACGGCAGGCAAAUCUCUUGAGUUCAAAGCCAACUUGGUUUACAUGGUGAGUCCAGGAUAGCCAAGGCUACAUAGUAAGAACCUACCUUGAAAAAGAAAGGAAAAGAAAAAAAGCCAGAUGGUGGUUUUCGCACACGUUUAAGCUCUAUCCUCAGGGAGCAGAGACAAGCAGAUUUCUUGAGCUCCAGGCCAACCUGGUGAACAGAGCAAAUUCCAGGGCAGUCAGAGCUACGUAGUAAGAACUUACCUUGAACAGAACAGAACACGGAUGCCAGGCAGAGUGGUUGCUUCCUUAUAUUCCCAGAGCUGGUGGGAGGGAUGAGACUGCAUUCUGGGCUGGGCUGAACGCUAGCCUGGGAAAAGAAAGAAAAAGAAAACGAGACUAAACAAUGGGAAUGCCUAUGUUUUAGGGUUCCCAUAAGAAUCCUGCUUCUGAGAACAUCAGGUUAAGUUAGAGCCAGUAUGUACAUGUUGGCCCAGGAUGGUCUCCAAUUAUAGAACUCUGGGGAGGUGAUUCCUGGAAUUGUGCUGGUGGGAGUUGGGGAAAAAAAAAAAAAAAGAUUUGCAGACUGGUAAGUUGACCCUGGUACCAAGCCCGUGUUUAAUCUCUAGAAGCCACAUUGUAGGAGCAGAGAACUGAGUCCUGAAAGCUGUCCUCUGACCUCCACGUGUGUGAUGUGGUACACUUACACACAAACAC
rnacentral:lncRNA from 1 species